AAAUUCCAAGCGCCAGCCGGCAUUAACAGUGUCUACACCAUUUUGCAUGACCGCCAGCACUGGAUGGGAGUUCCAGUUCUGCAUGCUUGCCUGAACCUGGUGUUAGUACAUCAUGCAAAAUGCCAGGCUGGAUGGAGCACAAGCUGGAAUCAAAAUUGCUGGGAGAAAUAUCAAUAGCCUCAGAUAUGCAGAUGACAUCACCCUUAUGGCAGAAAGCAAAGAACUAAAGAGCCUCUUGAAGAAAGUGACAGAGAAGAGUGAAAUAGUUGGCUUAAGACUCAAGGUUCAAAAAACUAAGAUCAUGGAAUCUGGUCCCAUCACUUCAUGGCGAAUAGAUGGGGAAGCAAUGGGAAUAGUGGCAGACUUUAUUUCUUGGGGGCUCCAAAAUCACUGCAGAUGGUGACUGCAUUAAAAGACGUUUGCUCCUUGGAAGAAAAGCUAUGAUCAACCUAGACAGCAUAUUAAAAAGCAGAGACGUUACUUUGCCAACAAAGGUCCAUCUAGUCAAAGCUAUGGUUUUUUUCAUGUAUGGAUGUGAGAGUUGGACUAUAAAGAAAGCCAAAGAAUUGAUGCUUUUGAACUGUGGUGUCGGAGAAGACUCUUGAGAGUCCCUUGGAUUGCAAGGAGAUCCAACCAGUCAUUCCUAAAAGAGAUCAGUCCUGAAUAUUUAUUGGGAUAACUGAUGCUGAGGUUGAAACUUCAAUACUUUGGCCACCUGAUGUGAAGAACUGACUCCCUGGAAAAGACCCUGAUGCUGGGAAAGAUUGAAGGUGGGAGGAGAAGGGGGACGGCAGAGGAUGAGAUGGCUGGAUGGCAUCACUGACUCGAUGAACGUGAGUUUGAGCAAGCUCUGGGAGUUGGUGAUGGACAGGGAAGCCUGCAGUCCACGAGGUCGCAAAGAGCUGAACACGACUGAGUGACUGAACUGAACUGAUACAAGUAAUCUAUGUAUCUAUUUAUCCAUCCAUCUAUGUCUCCAUCGAUCCAUCUAUCUAUGUAUCUCACAGGGCCAAGCACCUAGUAGGCAUUUAACGUCUACUCUGGAAUUUAAAAAGAAAGGAUUAAACAAGCACUUGAGAAUUUUUAUUGAAAUAGGGAGAGAGCAGUAAAAACUACAAGGUUUUAUAUUUUUGUAAGGAGAGAGCAACUUGAGGAAGUAUAUAGGGUGAGGAGAAGAGCCCAUGGAAAGGGUAGAAAUUGAAAAUAUCAGGAAAGAAAGAAUUAGAUCCUGCUGGAUAUGGGAAUGAGAAGGAGUUAAAACCAUAAGUGGAGAGAUUGCUUUGAUCACUCUCUGUACACUCUGUGGUAUACACAUUCAACUCCAGUCAUUUCUGUUUUCUCCCUGGGCUUUUAAGGCAGUAAGCAAUUGAACUAAAAGUUCUAUGUGAUAUUUUCUAGCUUUGUAUACAUGAUGUAUACCAGCCAGCUGCUGAAAAUAAUGUUUGUUAGAAGAGAACUCUCUAGUCAGGGGUAAUGACACAAAUGGCAAAAUGGGGGCCAAAGGACAGCUUCUCCUUUCCUGCUGCACUCAACUACUAAUACUGUCCUAAACAUCAUAUAUUAAAUUCUUUUAUUUUUCUGCAAAAAGCACAAUCUCACUGGACAUAUGUUUUCCUGUACUAUCAAAUUUUGAAAUAAAAGAGAGUUAUGCCAAAACAAA